AUGAAAUUCAGAGAGAAGCAUGAGCCUGCAUCAACUCAGUGCAAAUGUGGAGGACAGGACUGUCUUUUAUUUCUUGAUAAUUCUCCUUUGUUAAAACCAUUGGCAUGCAAUGACUACUGUAACUGCCUCUCUCUUCUGGUUGACGCUCCGUCUGUGAUCUGUCAGCUUACCACUUCCUGCCCCCAGAAGCUCUGGUGUGGAAUUUCUGCUCAUAUGUGGUGUCUUUUUGGAGAAUCUUCUGCCGAUCUUUAAUAGCUGGACUGUGAGUUACACACUCGUCAUAAUCAGUUUCUUAGCUUGUGAUAAGCAGAGCUAUUUAACCCUUUAAAGCAUAUCUCCCAGGUAUUAUUCACUCUUCUGUUCAAAUCGAAUUUAAUGCCCACGGAUGUGAUCCAUUUGAUGGAACCAUCUGCUUUUCUACUUCUGCCAAAGACACUCUGCGCAUUUUGGCAGCAUCCCUAAGUGGACUCAGUAGCUGCUGCCAAGUACAGUUGGAAUGCUUCAUAAAUCCAAACUCUGAAAACAACCAAACCAAGCAGUGUUCAUCCUAAAAUGAUUGCUGAUUUGUGGUGAGCCAAGCAAUGCUGCCUGUUCAUUAUAAGGCAAAGGGGGAGGAAAGAUAAAGUCAGGUGAUAUCUAUCCCCAUUAGACAACCUAGUAGAAAUCACCUCACUCAGACAAUAGUGAUAUUUAUGGGUGUCUCCCCCAGAAAUUUGGGAAACCACAAACUACGGAAGUACAACAAUGAUUCCUCUAGUGCAGGGCACCUAGUUGAAUGUUUAGACACAGAUGAUUGGUUCAGAAGAAGAUGACUGAUGUAUACUAAGAGAAACCCAACUCUUUUAAGAAGACGCUAAAUUUAGUAUCUUGUAAAUGUGAUGGUUCUCAAAUUACUGCAUCAGGAGAAGAAACUGGAAGGCUUAACAGUAUUCUUGAUUUGGACCAUACAUACUAGAUAAAUGGAGAAGGAGCAUGUUUGUUCAGAUUGUGGUAAAGCAUGACAGUCAAAUAGACAGGUCACCAACAACAGACCGAAUUAAGCAUUCCGUCAAAGUCCAUUGGCUUAUUUACAGAGCAUCUGUGAGAGGUUACUUACAGGAGUGUGGGCGACCCCCAAACAGCUGCAUCACCGCAAAGCCUCACCGCAUCAGGGAUGACUUCAUCAUGGAAUCUGCACCUUCCACGGGGUCCUGCUUUCAGUAACUUUCCGCCUCCUGCAUACUCUAGCGCUAUCUCACAAGAUUAUUCACACCAGGGAGGAGGCAGGAAGGAGUAACGAAUGGAAUCCCACAUGAGGACCCUGUGACCUUCUCCUUGUCUAUCCACUCGGGAGCAUCAAUAACUCCAUUGCGAUCUGGCUGUCACUGUAUUGUUCUGCUUUCGUUGUUACGGCUUCCUGGACACAGUGGUCUCUAGUGUAAAAUGGCUCCAAGGUACAGCACCAGGGAUUGGCAAAGUGGCAUUCGUGAGCCAAAUGUGGCCUGCAACCUGGUUCGUAAGCAAAGGUCUUGAAUAGUGGAAGGCACGUCAUGCACAUGUUAUCUAUUGCUACUUAAAUGCUCCAAUGGCAGAGUCAACAGGCUUCACCAGAGACACUAUGGUCUUCAAAGGAUGAAAUACUCACUAUCUGGCUCUUUAGAGAAAAUUCUUACUGCUUUUGCUGUAGACCAAAGAAAGCAAUCAAAAAUACAACUCACCGUAUUUGCAGUAGAGAUAAAGGCAAAAUAGUUAUCAUAUCACUUGAUAAAAAGGAAUUUAGGGACUGGGGAAAUAGGGUGGUUUGUGAAGUACCUGCCAGGAGAACAUGAGUUUGAUCCCCAGAACACACAUAAAAAAGCUGAAUAUGGUGGCAUCUGCUUGUAAUCCUGGCACUAGGGAAGCAGAGGUAGGUGGAUCCCUGAAGGUAGCUGUUAGCCAACCUAAUCAAUCAGACCCAGGUCCCAGUAUAGCACCAUCUCUCAAAAAACAAGGUGGACAGCUCCUAAGAAAUGACAUCUAAGGUUGAUCUCUAGUCUCUAUACACGUGAGCACACAUGUAUAAUUUACCAUGUGUACCUGCAUAAUGCCUGUACACAGAUAAAUAUACACACGUACCUAUGGGAGAUUACGAUAAGCCCACUGACUUUAUGUACUACACUUCUGCGAUGUCUCCAAUGCUUAGGAAGUCACAGCUGCACAUGGAAAUCUCCCAAGACUCAGCAAUACUCUCCUUCUUCAUACCUUCCAUUGUAGUAAACACAUAUGCUGCCUUAAUAACUUUUCUGUGGCUGUGAUAAAAUAUCAUAACUUAUAGAAGGAAGAGUUUAUUUGGCUUACAGUUCAGAGGGAUUAGAAUCCAUAAUGGCAGAAGAGCCAGGGCAGCACAGAUGGCCAGAGCAGAAAGCAGAGUGAUCGCAUCUUCAUGCAGGCACAGGAAGCAGUGAGAAACUGGAAACCCGGCAAGAACUGUCUAAGCGCACCUCCAGUGAUGCUCUUCCUCCAGCAUGGCCACACCUCCUAAAGCCUCCCAAAACAGUGCCACCUUGGAGCCUAUGGAGGAUAUUCUCAUUCAAACCACCGUACGUGGAUUCUCCUACAAGACUAUAAAUGUUUUAGGAUGGAAUCCAUAUCCAUAAGCAGUUUAACAAAUUGUAAUUUCCAUGAUCUAACUUUCAGGAUGUAAGAAUCACCUUCAUGGAACCUAGAAAUACUUACAUAAAAAUAAAAAUCUUUUUUUUCUUACUGUAAGUCUACGAAGCAAAAGU